rnacentral:tRNA from 1 species
GGAGGAUUGGCCGAGUGGUAACGGCAGCGGUUUGCUGAACCGUCGUCAGGUGAUUUGCCUGCGGGAGUUCGAGUCCCCCAUCCUCCG